AUUGAACGCUGGCGGCAUGCCUUACACAUGCAAGUCGAACGGCAGCGGACCUUCGGGUGCCGGCGAGUGGCGAACGGGUGAGUAAUAUAUCGGAACGUACCUUUCAGUGGGGGAUAACGUAGCGAAAGUUACGCUAAUACCGCAUAUUCUGUGAGCAGGAAAGCAGGGGAUCGCAAGACCUUGCGCUGAUUGAGCGGCCGAUAUCAGAUUAGCUAGUUGGUGAGGUAAAGGCUCACCAAGGCGACGAUCUGUAGCGGGUCUGAGAGGAUGAUCCGCCACACUGGAACUGAGACACGGUCUAGACUCCUACGGGAGGCAGCAGUGGGGAAUUUUGGACAAUGGGCGCAAGCCUGAUCCAGCCAUGCCGCGUGAGUGAAGAAGGCCUCGGUU
rnacentral:rRNA from 1 species